rnacentral:rRNA from 1 species
AUUGAACGCUGGCGGCAGGCCUAACACAUGCAAGUCGAACGAGUGGCGGACGGGUGAGUAAUGUCUGGGAAACUGCCUGAUGGAGGGGGAUAACUACUGGAAACGGUAGCUAAUACCGCAUACCAUCGGAUGUGCCCAGAUGGGAUUAGCUAGUAGGUGGGGUAAAGGCUCACCUAGGCGACGAUCCCUAGCUGGUCUGAGAGGAUGACCAUCUAAACUGGAACUGAGACACGGUCCAGACGCCGAUGGGAGGACGCAGUGGGGAAUAUUGCAACAGGGGCGAAAGCCUGAUGCAGCCAUGCCGAGGGUAUGAAGAAGGCCUUCGGGUUGUAAAGUACUGGCAGCGGGGAGGCGUUACCCGCAGAAGAAGCACCGGCUAACUCCGUGCCAGCAGCCGCGGUAAUUC